AUUGAACGCUGGCGGCAGGCCUAACACAUGCAAGUCGAGCGGAGCGGCGGACGGGUGAGUAAUGCCUAGGAAUCUGCCUGGUAGUGGGGGAUAACGUCCGGAAACGGGCGCUAAUACCGCAUACUAUCAGAUGAGCCUAGGUCGGAUUAGCUAGUUGGUGGGGUAACGGCUCACCAAGGCGACGAUCCGAAGCUGGUUUGAGAGGACGACCAGCCACACUGGGACUGAGACACGGCCCAGACUCCUACGGGAGGAAGCAGUGGGGAAUGUUGGACAAUGGGGGAAACCCUGAUCCAGCCAUCCCGCGUGUGCGAUGAAGGCCUUCGGGUUGUAAAGCACUUUCAGCGGGGAGGCGUUACCCGCAGAAGAAGCACCGGCUAACUCCGUGCCAGCAGCCGCGGUAAUAC
rnacentral:rRNA from 1 species